CAAAAACAUUGCCUUUAGAAUAUGGUUAUUGAAGGUACGCCCUGCCCGGUGAGUUUUUAACGGCUGCGGUAAUUUGACUGUACUAAGGUAGCACAAUCAUUUGCCCUUUAAUUGUGGGCUGGUAUGAAUGGGUAAACGAGGGUAAAGCUGUCUCUUGUAUAUAACUAAAAGUUAAACUUUAAGUGAAUAUGCUUAAAUAGGGGUAAAAGACAAGAAGACCCCAAGAGCUUUAAUAAAAUCUCAGAUAAGGCUAUAUUUGAGUGUUAUUUUGGUUGGGGCGACAGAGGACUAAACUAUAGCGUCUUUUUUAGUGAAGAAUUUGAUUCUUUGUUGAUCCGUUGUGCGAUUAGAAGAAGUAGCUACCUUGGGGAUAACAGGCUAAUUUAUUCGGAGAGUCCCUAUUGAUGAAUUAAGUUUGGCACCUCGAUGUUGGCUCAGAGUUUCCCACAGGUGCAGGAGUUUGUGAUGGUAGGUUUGUUCACCCUUUAAAACUCUACGUGAGCUGAGUUCAGACC
rnacentral:rRNA from 1 species